UCCCCGGUAGCUCAGUUCGGUAGAGCGGUCGGCUGUUAACCGAUUGGUCGCUGGUUCGAGUCCGGCCCGGGGAGCCA
rnacentral:tRNA from 1 species